rnacentral:rRNA from 1 species
UUGAAGAGUUUGAUCAUGGCUCAGAUUGAACGCUGGCGGCAGGCCUAACACAUGCAAGUCGAGCGGUAGCACAGAGAGCUUGCUCUCGGGUGACGAGCGGCGGACGGGUGAGUAAUGUCUGGGAAACUGCCUGAUGGAGGGGGAUAACUACUGGAAACGGUAGCUAAUACCGCAUAACGUCGCAAGACCAAAGUGGGGGACCUUCGGGCCUCAUGCCAUCAGAUGUGCCCAGAUGGGAUUAGCUAGUAGGUGGGGUAAUGGCUCACCUAGGCGACGAUCCCUAGCUGGUCUGAGAGGAUGACCAGCCACACUGGAACUGAGACACGGUCCAGACUCCUACGGGAGGCAGCAGUGGGGAAUAUUGCACAAUGGGCGCAAGCCUGAUGCAGCCAUGCCGCGUGUAUGAAGAAGGCCUUCGGGUUGUAAAGUACUUUCAGCGAGGAGGAAGGCGUUAAGGUUAAUAACCUUAGCGAUUGACGUUACUCGCAGAAGAAGCACCGGCUAACUCCGUGCCAGCAGCCGCGGUAAUACGGAGGGUGCAAGCGUUAAUCGGAAUUACUGGGCGUAAAGCGCACGCAGGCGGUCUGUUAAGUCAGAUGUGAAAUCCCCGGGCUCAACCUGGGAACUGCAUUUGAAACUGGCAGGCUUGAGUCUUGUAGAGGGGGGUAGAAUUCCAGGUGUAGCGGUGAAAUGCGUAGAGAUCUGGAGGAAUACCGGUGGCGAAGGCGGCCCCUGGACAAAGACUGACGCUCAGGUGCGAAAGCGUGGGGAGCAAACAGGAUUAGAUACCCUGGUAGUCCACGCUGUAAACGAUGUCGACUUGGAGGUUGUUCCCUUGAGGAGUGGCUUCCGGAGCUAACGCGUUAAGUCGACCGCCUGGGGAGUACGGCCGCAAGGUUAAAACUCAAAUGAAUUGACGGGGGCCCGCACAAGCGGUGGAGCAUGUGGUUUAAUUCGAUGCAACGCGAAGAACCUUACCUACUCUUGACAUCCAGAGAACUUAGCAGAGAUGCUUUGGUGCCUUCGGGAACUCUGAGACAGGUGCUGCAUGGCUGUCGUCAGCUCGUGUUGUGAAAUGUUGGGUUAAGUCCCGCAACGAGCGCAACCCUUAUCCUUUGUUGCCAGCGGUUCGGCCGGGAACUCAAAGGAGACUGCCAGUGAUAAACUGGAGGAAGGUGGGGAUGACGUCAAGUCAUCAUGGCCCUUACGAGUAGGGCUACACACGUGCUACAAUGGCAUAUACAAAGAGAAGCGACCUCGCGAGAGCAAGCGGACCUCAUAAAGUAUGUCGUAGUCCGGAUUGGAGUCUGCAACUCGACUCCAUGAAGUCGGAAUCGCUAGUAAUCGUAGAUCAGAAUGCUACGGUGAAUACGUUCCCGGGCCUUGUACACACCGCCCGUCACACCAUGGGAGUGGGUUGCAAAAGAAGUAGGUAGCUUAACCUUCGGGAGGGCGCUUACCACUUUGUGAUUCAUGACUGGGGUGAAGUCGUAACAAGGUAACCGUAGGGGAACCUGCGGUUGGAUCACCUCCUU